AGAGUUUGAUCAUGGCUCAGAUUGAACGCUGGCGGUAUGCCUAACACAUGCAAGUCGAACGCCCCGCAAGGGGAGUGGCAGACGGGUGAGUAACGCGUGGGAAUCUACCGUACCCUACGGAAUAGCUCCGGGAAACUGGAAUUAAUACCGUAUACGCCCUACGGGGGAAAGAUUUAUCGGGGUAUGAUGAGCCCGCGUUGGAUUAGCUAGUUGGUGGGUAAAGGCCUACCAAGGCGACGAUCCAUAGCUGGUCUGAGAGGAUGAUCAGCCACAUUGGGACUGAGACACGGCCCAAACUCCUACGGGAGGCAGCAGUGGGGAAUAUUGGACAAUGGGCGCAAGCCUGAUCCAGCCAUGCCGCGUGAGUGAUGAAGGUCUUAGGAUUGUAAAGCUCUUUCACCGAUGAAGAUAAUGACGGUAGUCGGAGAAGAAGCCCCGGCUAACUUCGUG
rnacentral:rRNA from 1 species